rnacentral:rRNA from 1 species
AUUGAACGCUGGCGGCAGGCCUAACACAUGCAAGUCGAACGGACCCUUCGGGGUUAGUGGCGGACGGGUGAGUAACACGUGGGAACGUGCCUUUAGGUUCGGAAUAGCUCCUGGAAACGGGUGGUAAUGCCGAAUGUGCCCUUCGGGGGAAAGAUUUAUCGCCUUUAGAGCGGCCCGCGUCUGAUUAGCUAGUUGGUGAGGUAAAGGCUCACCAAGGCGACGAUCAGUAGCUGGUCUGAGAGGAUGACCAGCCACAUUGGGACUGAGACACGGCCCAAACUCCUACGGGAGGCAGCAGUGGGGAAUCUUGCGCAAUGGGCGAAAGCCUGACGCAGCCAUGCCGCGUGAAUGAUGAAGGUCUUAGGAUUGUAAAAUUCUUUCACCGGGGACGAUAAUGACGGUACCCGGAGAAGAAGCCCCGGCUAACUUCGUGCCAGCCGCCGCCUAAUAC